GUCCAUGCAAGUGAACGGAGCGUUCCCUCUUCGUCAUAACUAUCAAACCAAACAUCCUUCACAUUCACCGAGCGAACAUUAUGAAAGUAAAAUGCACAUUUCUCGCUAAAAAUGUUUCCAUAAACGCAUUUAAUGGCGUAACUAUGUUACUAUUUCCACCCAGAAUAAAGAUAGUUGUCGGCCGUGGCUGCGCUGGAGUCCGAGGUAGGAACCCCAAACAUUAAAUAAUCUCUGAUAUAAAUAACAAUAAUCGGGUUAAAUAACUUCACAUGGUGUGUCUGGUGUGUUUCCAGCAUUCGUAGUGUUGAUCAGCAGAGAUAUAGUCCGCCAAGACGUUGAGGUUGCUUAGUAACCAGAGACUCUGUCCAUGCAAGUGAACGGAGCGUUCCCUCUUCGUCAUAACUACCAAACCAAACAUCCUUCACAUUCAC
ensembl:lncRNA